rnacentral:rRNA from 1 species
CCUACGGGGGGCAGCAGUGAGGAAUAUUGGUCAAUGGCCGGAAGGCUGAACCAGCCAAGCCGCGUGAAGGACGAAGGUGCCAAGCAUUGUAAACUUCUUUUGUCAAGGGACAAAAUCAGGCUCUAGAGCCUGACCGAGGGUACUUGAAGAACAAGCAUCGGCUAACUCCGUGCCAGCAGCCGCGGUAAUACGGAGGAUGCGAGUGUUAUCCGGAUUUAUUGGGUUUAGAGGGUGCGUAGGGGGGCUGUUAAGUCAGCGGUAAAAGCCCGGGGCUCAACCCCGGCGAGCCGUUGAAUCUGGCUGUCUUGAGAUGUCGAGAGGUAUGCGGAAUGCGCAGUGUAGCGGUGAAAUGCGUAGAUAUUGCGAAGAACUCCGAUUGCGAAGGCAGCAUACUGGCGGCGAUCUGACGCUGAGGCACGAAAGCGUGGGUAUCGAACAGGAUUAGAUACCCGGGUAGUC